rnacentral:rRNA from 1 species
AUUGAACGCUGGCGGCAGGCCUAACACAUGCAAGUCGAGCGGAGCGGCGGACGGGUGAGUAAUACCUAGGAAUCUGCCUGGUAGUGGGGGAUAACGUUCGGAAACGGACGCUAAUACCGCAUACUAUCACAUGAGCCUAGGUCGGAUUAGCUAGUUGGUGAGGUAAUGGCCCACAAAGGCUACGAUCCGUAACUGGGCUGAGAGGAGGAUCAGUCACCCUGGAACUGAGACACGGUCCAGACUCCACCCUCAACCACCAUUUCAAAAUAUUCCACAAUGUCCGAAAGCCUGAUCCAGCCAUGCCGCGUGUGUGAAGAAUAUCUUCGGAUUUUAACGCACUUUAAGUUGGGAGGCGUUACCGACAGAAUAAGCACCGGCUAACUCAGUGCCAGCAGCCGCGGUAAUAC